GAUGGACGCUGACAGAAUGCUUAACACAUGCAAGUCUUUGGCGAAGCUGUGCUUGCACAGCCUAGCCAAGGCGGACGGGUGAGUAACGCGUAAGGAACUUGCCCUGCAGUCAGGGAUAACAGACGGAAACGACUGAUAAGACCUGGUAAAGUCAGGCGGACUCAUGUCCAGCCUGAUGAAAAGAGAUGCUGCAGGAGAGCCUUGCGUCCUAUUAGCUUGUUGGUGGGGUAACGGCCCACCAAGGCGAUGAUAGGUAGCCGGCCUGAGAGGGUGGACGGCCACAAGGGGACUGAGAUACGGCCCUUACUCCUACGGGAGGCAGCAGUGGGGAAUAUUGGACAGUGGGGGCAACCCUGAUCCAGCAAUUCUGUGUGCACGAUGAAGGUUUUCGGAUUGUAAAGUGCUUUCAGCAGGGAAGAAAAAAAUGACGGUACCUGCAGAAGAAGCGACGGCUAAAUACGUG
rnacentral:rRNA from 1 species